CCGCGCGCCGCCGUCGCCCCGUGCCGCCGUCGCUGCCGCCGCGCUCGCUGGCUGGCCCGGUGCGGGCGCCGGGCUCCUGCCACAGGAGAGAACCACCAGCGCCACCACCACCACUUCGGCCCGGGCCCGGGCACCGGCCCCGCCCCGGGCCCCGGCCUGAGCCCCCCGCCCGGCCGGACGAUGGAGUGUCACUACGAGGCGCUGGGGGUGCGGCGCGACGCCAGCGAGGAGGAGCUCAAGAAGGCCUAUCGGAAGCUGGCCCUGAAAUGGCACCCGGAUAAAAAUCUGGAUAAUGCCGCAGAAGCAGCUGAACAAUUUAAACUAAUCCAAGCAGCGUAUGAUGUGCUAAGCGACCCUCAGGAAAGAGCAUGGUAUGAUAAUCAUAGAGAGGCUCUGCUUAAAGGUGGGCUUGCUGGAGAGUAUCAAGAUGACAGCUUAGAUUUGCUUCACUAUUUCACUGUGACCUGUUACUCUGGUUAUGGAGAUGAUGAAAAGGGCUUUUAUACAGUGUAUCGUAAUGUUUUUGAAAUGAUUGCCAAGGAAGAACUAGAAUCUUCUUUAGAAGAGGAUGUUGAGGAUUUCCCAACUUUUGGAGACUCCCAGAGUGACUAUGAUACGGUAGUCCAUCCUUUCUACGCUUAUUGGCAGAGUUUCUGCACUCAGAAGAACUUUGCUUGGAAAGAAGAAUAUGAUACACGACAGGCUUCAAACCACUGGGAGAAACGAGCCAUGGAAAAAGAGAACAAAAAGAUUCGAGACAAAGCAAGGAAAGAGAAGAACGAGCUUGUCCGUCAGCUGGUAGCUUUCAUCCGUAAAAGAGAUAGAAGAGUGCAGGCUCAUCGAAAACUUGUGGAAGAACAGAACGCAGAGAAGGCGAGGAAAGCCGAAGCAAUGAGGCGGCAGCAGAAGCUAAAGCAGGCCAAACUGGCAGAGCAGUACAAAGAGCAGAGCUGGAUGACGGUGGCCGAUUUGGAGAAGGAGCUCAGGGAGAUGGAGGCGCAGUAUGAAAAGGAGUUUGGAGAUGGAUCAGGUGAAGAUGAAGCGGAAGAACGGGAACUCCAAGACGGACAGGAUGGUAAAGAUGGUGACGAGGCUGAGGAUGCAGAACUUUAUGAUAGCCUUUACUGCCCAGCAUGUGACAAAUCUUUCAAGACGGAAAAGGCCAUGAGGAAUCAUGAAAAAUCAAAGAAGCAUCGGGAAAUGGUUGCCUUGUUAAAACAACAGUUGGAGGAGGAGGAAGCAAAUUUUUCAGGACCUCAAACUGAUGAAAACAGUCUGGAUGCCAAUUCUGAGGAAGAAAUGGAGGAUGCACCAAAACAAAAGCUUUCUAAAAAACAGAAGAAAAAGAAACAGAAACCAGCACAGAAUUAUGAUGAUAAUUUCAAUGAAAAUGGAACUGGAGAAGCAGUAAAGGUUGAUCCAGAAGAUAACAGCCUAAAUCAAGGCAGUGCCAAAGGAUUGGAAGAUAGUCCCCAAGAAAAUGUCGGUGUUACAGAGACUGUGGAACGGUGUGAUGACCCCAAAAGUGAAGCUAAAAGUGUUUCUAAACCCAAAGGAAAGAAAGCCAAAGAUACUAAAAAAUCUGUCAGAGUACCUGCUGAACUACAGACAGUGAGUGAUGUUCUUAUCAGCUGUACAACCUGCCAUAGUGAAUUUCCAUCCCGGAAUAAACUUUUUGACCAUCUAAAGGCCACAGGUCAUGCAAGAGCACCUUCGUCAUCAUCUUUAAACAGUGUAACAGAUAGUCGAAGCAAAAAAGAGAAACGUAAAAACAGAUAGAAAUCCUGCCAAUGCUUUUUCUUUUUGAUUGUCUCUCGAUUUUGACACCAAAAACUGAACUGAAAUCAUCUAAAGAGUUAAAAUUUCAGUCAUCUGCAAUUUAUUGCAUUGUGGGAGAUUAUUUUUAUCUUGUAGAAACUUUUUUUUGUUUAAUAUAUAUUUUUUAAACAUUUCAUUGGUGAUUGAAUUCUACUUUUGCCAUCCGAAUUGACUUGAAUGUCUCAGAACAGAUUGGCAAAAGGCAAAAAGUCUCACAAGAUCAAGUGUUGGUGAGAAUGGAGAAAUGGGAACAAUUGCUUCAGUUUGAUGGUGGCUAUGAAAGUUGAAGACGUACCCCCUGACCUGACAACUCCAGGGGUAUACUAGCGUCUCACAGUGUCUGCAGAGGCACAGCAUGGGCUCUACCUGAGGACUGUCACCCAGGUCCCACUCCUGACCUGCUGAGUGAGAAUUUGCAAUUAACAAGACUUCUCAGGUGACUCGCAUGCUUCUUGCAUCUUGAGAAGCAGUGCUCUCAGGAAUCCAGGCGCCUGUGGACAAGGAGACUUAGUGGCUGAUCACAGCUGAAUUGCUUGUAUCUGGGAAAAGUUGGAGAUGGACCAUAAAUCUCCAUGAACAAGAAAGUGGAUAAAUUGUAUAAUGGACAAUAAGAUGGCAAACAAGCAGUUCAAAUGAGUGAACUGGAUAUGUAAUACCAAUGGCUAGCCUUAAAAAAAUACUGAAUGAAAACAAGCUGUCAGAAGGUGACAUGUAUGCCACUUAUAUAUAGUUUUUUUAAAGUACUGUUGUUAUUUAUAGAGAGAAAAUAUAGAACCAUCAAUGGGAAACACAUCAUUCAGAAAAGUAGUUGCCUCUGGAAAGGGAGGGAGAGGGGUGGAAUGGGGGCGUGGCAGCAAAGGGGCCUUAUCUGAGGCAAGACUUCUAAUUAAGAUCUGAAGGAAGAUGUUAGCAUUAAUUCUGGGUGGUGGGUAAUGAGGGUUUAUCACUCUACUAACAUGUUUUCAUGAAAUACUUCAAAUAUCCAGAGAAAUACAAAUUAAUGUUCCAUUUUUUGUUAAUAGAAAAUACACUUGCACGAAAGGGGAGAUAAAGGUUUUCAGGUCUACAUUUUAUUCCUAGCAUAUUCCAUAAGCUCACUGUGGCAGAGGCUGUUACUUGUUUCUCUCAAUAUUCAUUCUCCCCUUCUUCCUUAUAAUUCUGAUUUUUGAUUGGGCACAAAGCCACCUAAAAUUUUACCUUCCUAGCCUCCCUUGCAGCUAGGAGUCUGUAAGUUCUGGUCAGUGAUCUGAGCAACUUUGGGGACAUGUCCUGAAAGAUGUGGGAUGUCCUUAUUCCUUCCUCCGCCAGCUUCAGUGAACGGGUAGGUAAUGGUUGGCGCUCUACCCCUGUCUGGGACCAUGAAUCCUCACAGGGCAGAGAAACUGAAGCCCAGGAGCUUCCAUCCUUGACAUGUAGAGGGACCCUAUAAGGCCCAGACAACCUCCUUAUGCAUUCAAGAGAAAUAAAACUCCUGCAUCACUGAA